rnacentral:rRNA from 1 species
CCACCGCUGCACGUUCGGCAACGCCGUGCAGGACUCGCUGGGCCAACCAGCGGGAAGCGGGUGGCAAUAACAGGUCUGUGAUGCCCUUAGAUGUUCUGGGCCGCACGCGCGCUACACUGGCCGGGGCAGCGAGGGGGCGGCGCGAGCGCGCUGCCGAAUCGGGAAGCCCGGCCGUGCUGGGGAUAGACCGUUGCAAUUGUCGGUCUUGAACGAGGAAUUCCUAGUAGGCGCCGGUCAUCAGCCAGCGCCGACUAUGUCCCUGCCCUUUGUACACACCGCCCGUCGCUACUACCGAUUGAGUGUGCUAAUGAGGCGCGCGGAGCGGCCUUGCGGCUGCGAAGCGCGACGAAUUGGGACAUUUAGAGGAAGUAAAAGUCG